GCCCAGGCUAGUCUUCAACUCCUGGGCUCAAGUGAUCCUCUCAACUCAGCUUCCCAAAGUGUUGGGAUUACAGGCAUGAGCCACCACAUCCAGCCAGUGAUCCUUUAAGUGAUCAGCCUCCAUCUUUUUGUGCCCUAGCUGCUAGUUCUGAGUGUACUUGAUGCUCACCAUUUGGCUGUGUGCCCAAAGCUUGUGCCACUUCCCAUUGGUUAGCUGUGAGGCAACAGAAGCACCUGAAGAGACUGUCACACAGAUAUGCUUAGUCACACCCUGCCUGGAGAGGAGAGUCAGGAAUGAUCACACAGAAUCACAGGAGAUGAACUCAAUGACUAAUUAAAGCAGCUCUUAGAAUGGGUCUUUGGGAGCUAGAGACCCAGGCCCGCUGUGCUAACCUCCCAUUUCACUGGCCUUUGUGAUUGGACACUCAGGCCACUGUAGGAUGGUAGGAGGAGCUUGUUCCUUGGAUUUCUGAGGCUUAGGUAGUUUAGAUGGCUAUGUGAGCUGCAGAGAAUAAAUGACAUGUGGCUGAGUCCAGAUCAGGACGGAGAGACACAGAUGUAGGGAGCCUUCUUGCCCUCAUGAGCCUGUUCUUUCUGUAGCCUGGGUACUACUGCCCAUGGCACCUUCUCUAUCCAAACUCUCAGCUCCCAGUGGUACCUCUCGCCUGGCUUUAUUCCUCCUUCGGCAGUUCCUUUUAGGUGUCUUUUGAAGUUACCUUAUUGUAGAAACAUACACUUGCAAGUUAAUGUUACUAUUCUGUUGGUGUCUUACAUUUCCAUUUAGUUGUCAGAGGUUCUAUUUCUUAUCUAAGGUGUUACAUAAUGGGCCUAUGGAAAUAAACUAAGACCAUGCACAUGAGAACAGAGACUGUUUAACCAGAGUGCACUCCAGCAAGGGAGCCGGCCACCAUCACUUGCGUCUGGCAGGUGCCCAGAGGCAGGUGGAGGCAUGGGAAACUUUAGUGGAGAAAAGGAGGGUGUUGAGGAUUCUCCGAGAGGAGACUGUGGACUGGAGGAGCUGGAAGCAGACUAAUAGAAGUUGUUGUCGCAGGUGAUUGUUGAAAGGGAACAUAUUUGACUUUCUCUCCCUAAUUCAGAGUUGCAAGCAGGGGCACAAAAUAACGGAGCUGAGAGUCAAUGUCUAACCCUCAUGGGCCAGUGGCUGAGGUUGUGAAUCAGAGCUCUGGUCCAAUGCGGUCUGGCCUUUGUCUGUUUGAAUAUUCAGUCUCUCCCAAGCCACUGCUGACCCAGAACACGGAGUCUUAUAGCUCUUCAUGAAUUGUCUCUAGCAAUAUUGUUUCUUAAGCUUUUUUGGGUUGUAGACUCUAGACUCUUAAGAAUCAGAAAGCUGUAACUGCUUUGCCCAGAAAAAAACCAAAACGCAGUAGCAAGGACUCACAGACCCACUGAGGCCCAACCAGGGACCCCAGAUCUCAUUUCAUUUAUACACAUGUAACAGUUUUAUCUUCUUUUGUGACUAUGAUGCAGCAUUAUUCCAUAUGAAGUUUAGACUGUUACCUCUUUAUUAUACCUUAGAAGUAAUUGCCAAUAGUAUAUAUGCAAAUAUUUUUAAAUAGCACUACUUCAAUCCUAUACCAGAUAGGUGAUAUGCUAGGGGAGUCAGUAUUCUGUGAUACCGAUGAGUAACCUCAUUAAGCACCAAAAAGGGUACUUUUUGGGUCAUUUCAACUAAUUUUUAUUUUUAUUUAAUUUUGAUUUGUAAAGCUUUCUAAGAUCCUAUUUCCCUGUCAUCAGAAGAAGUUAACAGAGUUAUCAUGGCUUAGCUUCCUUUUUAUGAUGAACUGCAAAAACAGGAUUUUCUGAUGUUGAGAUGUUUGCCUGACUGGAUUGUCAGCUCCUUGAGGGCAGGGACUUGUGCCUGUUCUGCAGCCUCUCAGGAAAUGUUGAAAUGAACACUUCAGGGCUCUCCUCACUCAGUGUCUGCCCCAGACUGCCUACCAUGCUUUCCUUGUUCACCUUUCUGUCUUUAUUUUUUGAGCAGUAACUGUGGGCUUUCAUCUUAGUAAGCUGUCAAGUCAAACUCCCUCAAACUCUAAGAUUGUUAAAAGCAGAUGAGCCAGCCUCUUCUGGUCUGUAACCUUACAUUAAGUGUACACCUAGCCUCUUCUUUAGAGAAGGGCAUGGAUUCUGUUUUUCACCAUCUCUGAAAGCAUUUUUUUCGUUUUUGAUUCAGAUAUAUUCUGAAUAGUUGAUAAACGGAAUUCAAGUCUUUGGAUAAAAAGGUGUAUUCAUGCUUCUGUUGAAACUUUUUUUGGCUGAGUAUCAGGACACUGGGAGAACUAUAGCAGCCAUUGGGACAACAUAAAUUGGGACUGAACGCAUUUUUGAGUGCCCACCAGACGAUGUCAGGCAACAGGAAAGAAACGCGUUCUGUAUCCUCAGGGAUCUCGCAGUCACAGAGAGGACAAUAUAGCUGUGAUACUUCCUUAGAAAAGACCGAAGGGACUUAGAAGUCUCUAGUAGGGGACAGAGAAGGACACUUUUGUUUUGAAGGAGAAGUCAGCUCUCACCAGGCCCAACAGCGGGAGAGGCACCUGCUAACCGAAAGACAGAAGUGACUUGAGUAGCUCGGUGGUGGCAUGAGCACAGGUGUAGGAGAUUGAGGCUGGAGGGCUGGGGGGGGGUCUCCGGUGUUGUGAAGAGACUUGCUGGCUUAAGGAGUUAGAAUUUCAUCUGGGAGGAAGUUGGGAGCCAAGAGGAGUUUGAGGCCAAAUUAUGACCACCACACACAGGUCAGUGUGUGAUUUAGAUGCGUGCUUGGGUGAGAGCAUAGCUAGGAAGGUGCGUGUAGAUUCAGGAGGGCGUGAAGCAGAGCAGUGUUGGGCCCACCAGCCACCUGGCCCACUCCCUUGCUUCCACUUGGUCACCAUCAAAUGCCAGUUCAGCAAGGCUUCUUUAGACAACCAUGUUUAAAAUUUCCACCCACCUCCACUUCCACACAUGCUGUCCACCUUCCCUGCUUUAUUUUUUUCCUUAGCACCUAUUGUAUAACAUAUUCAUUCAUUCUGUUUUUCAGGGCAAGAUUUUUGUCCCAUUUUUUCAGGCUGUCUCUCCAGGGCUUAGAUUAGUGCUUGGCACAGCAGACUCUUUAAACAUUUGCUGAAUGAAUGACGGAAGGAAAAAGGGGGUUAGGGUUGUGCGGUAUUUCAAGGUGAAAAUGAUAGCUUGGGACGAGGAUAAACAACGCAAUCUUCAGUCAGUUAACUAAGCCCUUUAUUCUCCUGGAAGUAGUGAAAUAGAUAGUUGGGCAACUUUUGGAAAUGCAAUUUUCAUUCAAGUUAAGGAAAUAUUUGCUAAGCAAUCAGUUUGUGGAGUAAUUAUAGUAAAUUUCAGUUUCUCUCAACCCAAUGGCUGACUUAACCCCAAACAUUGCAUCAUGAGACAGAAUCACAAUAAUGAUGGCAUCUAACAUUUAUCAAGCAUGCAUCAACAUACAUGUGCCAGGCACUUCACAUAUAUGUUUUUAAUUUUUUUUUCUUUUAAAUUUUUUU